UCCUAGCCCCGAUUGUCCCGAAAUUUCGGGAGAAAUCCUUUUUAUUUUUUCUUAAAAAAAUAAAAAAAUUGAAAUGGAAAGAGGGAUUAGCU
rnacentral:sRNA from 1 species